UACGAAGGGUGCAAGCGUUACUCGGAAUUACUGGGCGUAAAGCGUGCGCAGGCGGUUAUGUAAGACAGAUGUGAAAUCCCCGGGCUUAACCUGGGAACUGCAUUUGUGACUGGCGGGCUAGAGUAUGGCAGAGGGGGGUAGAAUUCCACGUGUAGCAGUGAAAUGCGUAGAGAUGUGGAGGAAUACCGAUGGCGAAGGCAGCCCCCUGGGCCAAUACUGACGCUCAUGCACGAAAGCGUGGGGAGCAAACAGG
rnacentral:rRNA from 1 species